rnacentral:lncRNA from 1 species
AUAAGCCGGUGGGGUCUUGGCGUGCGUCCUGGUCCCGGAUGCGACAGCGGUGCAUCCCGAGAAGGUGGGUGUGCCGACGUAAGGCUACAUUGCAGGGUUGCAAGAAUCCCCACUCGCCUCAACUCAUCCAGCUGCCUGAUUCUGUCAGUUUGCGGUGAUUUGGAAAAGAAUGGUAUCCUUCCCGUCUCUGUCCCCCUUCCGCGCGUCCUUGCCAUCCCCCAUGGCACCUGUGGCUUCUGGGAAUUCCAGGAUGACGGGCUACACAGUCCUCUGCCUCCUAAGCUGCUCCCCCCUCGGGGACUCGGCCAUAGCAACACAGGACUGACCACGACCGGCCCGGGGCCGAGGCCUUGCUCUGAGCGUGUGCAGCGCCAUGGAAGACCACCGGCCCUCCCCACUUUUCCUGUGUCCGGGCCCUGGCCCCAGCCUCCCGGGGUCCACACAGGCCGGCUGCGCACUCCCAGCCCCGGCCCCGCUGCGACACCAGGCUGCACUCCCGGGGCCUUGCUGGGACUGGCAGUGAGGCUGGCCGGAGCCCCUCCACCUGGGAGCGCCUGGCACCCAGCCUGUCCUGAGGCUGCCACGCCCACCUCCCUCUGCCCCAUAGUCAAGCACCCCGCCCCUGCACCUCUGCACUUGAGCUCCCCGGCCCUGCUCCUUCUGUCGCUUGACUCCAGCAGACCCCGUCUUCAGUCUUGUUCACUGGGGGGGUGCAGGAGGGCAGGAGAGCACAGGGGGAAGGCGUCUCUCAAUUUUUUUUUUAAUUUUUUGACAGGCAGAGUGGACAGUGAGAGAGAGAGACAGAGAGAAAGGUCUUCCUUUGCCGUUGCUUCACCCUCCAAUGGCCGCUGCGGCCGGCGCACCGUGCUGAUCCGAAGGCAGGAGCCAGGUGCUUCUCCUGGUCUCCCAUGGGGUGCAGGGCCCAAGCACCUGGGCCAUCCUCCACUGCACUCCCAGGCCAUGGCAGAGAGCUGGCCUGGAAGAGGGGCAACCGGGACAGAAUCCGGCGCCCCGACCGGGACUAGAACCUGGUGUGCCGGCGCCGCAAGGUGGAGGAUUAGCCUAGUGAGCUGUGGCACCGGCCGGAAGGCGUCUCAAAACAGCAGAGAUGGAAUUCCAACCUCAGGAGUGGGCAGCCCUGGGAGCUGUGCUGGUGACGAGCUCAGAGGGGCCAGCCCAGGGCCAGGACACCUGGGGAACCGUCUGGGGAAGAGAUUGCUUCGGGGUGAAUGA